rnacentral:lncRNA from 1 species
AGAAUUCUAUGGACUGAUGAAAGAUUAUCCCUGCAAAAGUCGGUUCAGUUGAGACUUUAUUCCGGUUUGGGUGAUGUUAUAACCAAUGAAAAGGAAGCCUGGCGAAGACUGCAAUCUUCUCUUCCUUCCCUUUGGGGCUUUAUGAACCAGAGAGAAACCUACGCCCAGAAGAACAUGUCCCUGGAUUGCUUUCCCACUGCUGUGGAGUGUCUUGAACACUGGUCCCUGGACACCAACUUCAAGAAGACUUCAUGGAUGGCUGUCCAGUCUUAUGAGCCACAGUUUCCCCUCUACAUUUUCUUCACUCCAGCGAGGCUCUUAUCAGGGUCAGAUCAGAGAUGAACCAGCUGGACGACAGAUUGGAGCGCUGACCUCUUAGAGUGCUAACAGUGAACAGUGUGGGGUCAGAUCUAUAGAAAGAUAAUAAUAAGAAAACACCCUAUAUGCAAGGGAGAGGGAUGGUUCAUAAUUUCUUAAAGAUUGAAAUCAAGGAACAAUCAAAAUAUAGAAGAAUGUGGACGUGU